CUCUUCAAACCGCUACUAAUCUUCAUUAUUAAAGCUGAAUUUCCACAAAAUAUCAAGAGAAGAAAUCUGUGACGUCUUUUUACUGAAAAAAAAAGAGAAAAUGGAUGUUCGUGACGAAAUUGACAUGAACAAGCUUCACAAAUCCACCGAAAAGCAAAAAAAAAAACGAAGAUGCCGAAAGAAAAAAAGGAAACGACUGGAAGAUCUAGUGAAGAGCAAAAAAUCGGGAAUGCAAAGCAACUAGACAUGAAGGA